rnacentral:lncRNA from 1 species
GUUUCGGUGUGUGCGGUGUUGUGUUCUUGACCACGGUACCUCACCAGAUGCUCAGUGUUUAAGCUGUGAACAAGGAGUAAUCUGCGGAACCAUCUCAGCGCACUGAGACACAAACAAACAGUCUUCUCUCUAAAGUGUGUGUUGGAAUUGAAUAUUGCUUUUGUAAUCUCGCAGACGGAAGGCCUUUGGUCAUGCAUUGGGUUCUGAUGGCUGGUGCUGAUGCAGAGAGAGAGAGCUGAGUUGCUAUGCAGAUUUAUUCUGAAUAAUAACAAGAUGUGAAUACACCUAUACCAGUCGGGGACUGUGCUCCUUAUCGAGACUGGUAACACGCACCUCAGGGCUAGUGCGAGGAGCAGGAACAGGACGUACUGGACGGGCCAGGCGCACUGGAGGCCUAAUGCAUGGAACUGGCUUUGGAGGUGCCAGUUCCAUAGCCGAUCAUUGAGAGUAUCUCUACCGCUCCUGCUGUCUCUAGAGAGUUGAAAACAGCAGGUCUGGGACAGGUAGCAGUCCGGUGAACAGGCCAGGGUUCCAUAGCCGCAGGCAGAACAGUUGAAACUGGAGC